UGCUAUUUAAUUAUGUGCUUUUUUAAUGAUUUUUUAUUAUAACAAUAGUAACAACAAUAAUAACAACAACAAUAAUAAUAACCAUAACAAUCAUAACAAUAAUAAUAAUAAUCAUUAAUAUUCAGGGCAAUUAGCCUAAAUCUUAUUUGAUGGGGGGCAGUAAGGCACCUGGAUAAUAGAUAGGGGAACGCAGGUCCAGAAAAGGUUGAGAACUACUCCAUCAGACAGACAGACUAGCACACACACACACACACCCACAUGCACACAGUAUGUAUGAAGAUGUUUGUAUGUUUCUUCAUGUUAUCUGAAAUUACAUUUACUCAACAAAAUUAUUCACUCAGGACACAUUUUAAUUUUACAUAAUGGGUAUUAGAAUACUAUUAUAUUGUGUAUAAUAUAAUUUGGUCAACUGCAAUCUUUACAAAUAUGAAUCAUAAUAUGAAAUAAUGUAAAACACCUUGAUCACAUACAUGUGGACUCCAUUCAGCUAAUUAUACAGUUAGGUCUUGGAAUAUUUGGACACUGACAGAAUUUCUGUACGCCACCACAAUGGAUUUGAAAUGAAAAAACAGAGAUGCAACUGAAGUGCAGACUUUCAGCUUCAAUUCAAGGGGUUUAACAAAAAUAUUGUAUGAAAAUGUUUUGUCUUCUGUCACAUCAUCAAUAAACAAUAGUGACCGAGUGCCACUGGAAGCCAAGCAUGCCCAUGCCAUCACACUGCCUCCACCGUGUUUUACAGAUGAUGUGGUAUGCUUUGGAUCAUGAGCCGUUCCAAGCCUUCACCAUACUUUUUUACAUUCUAGUACAGGUUGAUCUUAGUUUUAUCUGUCCAGAGAAUGUUCUGUUCCAGAACUGGGCUGGCUUUUUUAGAUGUUUUUUGGCAGUUUAAUCUGGCCUUUCUAUUCUUGAGGCUUAUGAAUGGUUUGCACCUUGUGGUGAACCCUCUGUAUUUGCUCUCAUGAAGUCUUCUCUUUAUGGUAGACUUGGAUAAUGGUAUGCCUACCUCCUGGAGAGUGUUCUUCACUUGACUGGAUGUUGUGAAGGGGUUUUUCUUUACCGUGGAAAGGAUCCUACGAUCACCCACUGUUGUCUUCCGUGGACGUCCAGGCCUUUUUGUGUUGCAGAGCUCACCAGUGUGUUCUUUUCUUUUCAGAAUGUACCAAACUGUUGAUUUGGGCACUCCUAAUGUUCAUGCUAUCUCUCUGAUGGAUAUUUAUUUUAUUGCAGGCUAAGGAUGGCAUGUUUCACUUGCACUGAGAGCUCCUUUGACCACAUGUUGUGGUUUCACAGCAACAGCUUCCAAAUGCGAAUGCCACACCUGAAAUCAACUCCAGACUGUUAUUUUCACAUGUCAUCUAAAGACGGUUGCACCACAGUUUAUUCAAGUGAGGCUUAUCAAAAGGGGUGAAUACUUAUACAAACAAAUAUUUUCUGUUUUAUAUUUUAAUCGAUUUAGAACUAUUUGCAGAUUUUAUUUUUCCGUUUGAGAUUGUGGACUAUUUUGUGUUGAUCAGUGGCAAAUAUCUAACCAAUUUCGAUGUCUUUUUGCAACACAAUAAAACGUGGAAAUGUCCAGGGCGGUAAUUGCUUUCAUACAUACCGAGUAAAAAGUUCAAGCUUCAUGUCCAGGAAAGGGCGCGACACGCAGGGUUGCCAGCUCUAGCUAUAAUGUAAAAAUCGCCUCGCAGCAAAAGAGGACGCGCAUUCAUAAAUACACAUCAGUAGUCAUGACGUGUGAGGAGGGGAGGGCAGCCGCUGCUCUCCCCUCAUCCUCACUCAGCUCCCUGCUGCGCUGUGUCUCUGCAACGCUGCCUCAGCCUGCAGAAACCUCUCAACACACAAGCAGCCCUCCCCGUCCCUCCAUACAGCCUGACUCAUUGUCAUAUACCGCACAUUCACCAGCUAGAUCAUUUCCAAGGAAGCGCAGUUUGUGGGAACACCGUAAAACGUCUUUUGAAAUCAGUACGGUAGAUCAUUAGAUAGUCCCAUCUGUAAAAACCAGUGUUUUUCUAAAUUAUUUUCAUUCCUUGAAGCAAGAGGGUGAAGACAAGCUGCGUGGUAACACUACGCAGUCCAGUGUUAUUUAAUGUAUUGCAUUCAGCAGGGGCGGAAAGAGGCCUCACAUUAUCGAUGCCGAGAGAAGUCUUAGGUGAAUACAUUGCAUUCAAUUUGGUGAAGGGCAGCCUCACACUAUUGAUAUCUAGAGAAAUACUCCGCAGAGAUGACUACUAAGUGAUUACUUUGCAUUUGACAGGUUUAAGAUCAGCCACAAGCUAUUGAUGCCUCUGGAAAUGUGCAAUAAUAUAAAGAUAAAUGGACAGUCACUGAGACAGUCACAGAGACUGACAGACAGACAACAGGCACAGCCUAAUCCAUCGCAGGUAUCGAUGUAUGGGCAAGGAAGUCCUCAGACCAUCUUUUGGUAAUGUCCUCAGGCUAUCGACAUGGCACGAUUCAUCCAACGGAGAGGGAGGGCUGUGCCGAUGACACACCGUCAGGUUCUUUACUCUGACCACCGCCGCCAUAAAUCCGCUGUGUUUUGUUGGCCUUUCCCUGUUACCUGCCAGUUUUCACCCAGUUAACAAUGUGAUGCUGACAGUCAACAUACUCAAAAUGUUCAAUUAUCUUCAGAAUCACUUUCGAUUGCUAAGUACCUUCACAGAGAAUUGUCCUUGUGUAAUUAUUCUUAUCACAAUGUUUUAAUAAUAAUGCCACUUGAAAGAUUACAUUAUUUUGUUAAAAUGUAGCUAUUCAGUGCUGAAUACAACCACUUGAUGUUUGCUAGUUAGUUUGACAGAAUGUAUUGUGUGCAGUAUAUUAGCCUGUUCUAACAAGCUCACCUUUUUUUCUGAAUAACUGUGAAUAUUUUUUUACAUAUGUAAAUAAAUUAGCCUCAUUUUCUUUGUGCACAGCC
ensembl:lncRNA